rnacentral:rRNA from 1 species
UUGGGGAUUUAUAUAAAAGGUUGGGCCUGCCCGGUGAUCUGAAAUGGUUUAACGGCUGCGAUUGAAACCGUACUAAGGUAGCAUAAUAAUUUGCCCUUUAAUUGGGGGAGAGAAUGAAUGGUUUGACGGUAAAAAAGCUGUUUUAAAAAUAAAAAAAGAAGUUAACUUUUAAGUGAAAAGGCUUAAGUCUUUAUAAAAGACGAGAAGACCCCGUCGAGCUUAAUUAGAAUAACUUAAAUGUAGGUUAUUUAAAAUUUUAUUGGGGCAAUAGAAAAUGAAAUGAAUCAUUUUUUUUAUUAUAAGGAUCCAGUUUUGACUGAAAAAAGCAAAAGCUACCGCGGGGAUAACAGGGUAAUUUUUUCUGAGAGUUCAUAUUUAAGAAGAAGUUUGCUACCUCGAUGUUGGAUUAGAAUUUCUUUAUGCUUGCAGCAGGUAUAAUAGU